rnacentral:rRNA from 1 species
UACGGAGGGUGCAAGCGUUAAUCGGAAUUACUGGGCGUAAAGAGUGCGUAGGUGGUUGACUAAGUUAUCUGUGAAAUUCCUGGGCUCAACCUGGGACGGUCAGAUAAUACUGGUAGACUCGAGUAUGGGAGAGGGUAGUGGAAUUUCCGGUGUAGCGGUGAAAUGCGUAGAGAUCGGAAGGAACACCAGUGGCGAAGGCGGCUACCUGGCCUAAUACUGACACUGAGGCACGAAAGCGUGGGGAGCAAACAGG